GACGAACGCUGGCGGCGUGCUUAACACAUGCAAGUCGAACGGAAAGGCCCUGCUUUUGUGGGGUGCUCGAGUGGCGAACGGGUGAGUAACACGUGAGUAACCUGCCCUUGACUUUGGGAUAACUUCAGGAAACUGGGGCUAAUACCGGAUAGGAGCUCCUGCUGCAUGGUGGGGGUUGGAAAGUUUCGGCGGUUGGGGAUGGACUCGCGGCUUAUCAGCUUGUUGGUGGGGUAGUGGCUUACCAAGGCUUUGACGGGUAGCCGGCCUGAGAGGGUGACCGGCCACAUUGGGACCGAGAUACGGCCCAGACUCCUACGGGAGGCAGCAGUGGGGAAUAGUGCACAAUGGGCGGAAGCCUGAUGCAGCAACGCCGCGUGCGGGAUGACGGCCUUCGGGUUGUAAACCGCUUUCGCCUGUGACGAAGCGUGAGUGACGGUAAUGGGUAAAGAAGCACCGGCUAACUACGUG
rnacentral:rRNA from 1 species